CGGGGUGAGUAACGCGUGAGGAACCUGCCUCAAAGAGGGGGACAACAGUUGGAAACGACUGCUAAUACCGCAUAAGCCCACGGCUCGGCAUCGAGCAGAGGGAAAAGGAGCAAUCCGCUUUGAGAUGGCCUCGCGUCCGAUUAGCUAGUUGGUGAGGUAACGGCCCACCAAGGCGACGAUCGGUAGCCGGACUGAGAGGUUGAACGGCCACAUUGGGACUGAGACACGGCCCAG
rnacentral:rRNA from 1 species